GAACGCUAGCUACAGGCUUAACACAUGCAAGUCGAGGGGCAGCAUGGUCUUAGCUUGCUAAGGCCGAUGGCGACCGGCGCACGGGUGAGUAACGCGUAUCCAACCUGCCUUACACUCUUGGACAGCCUUCUGAAAGGGAGAUUAAUACAAGAUGUUAUCAUGAGUAAGCAUUUUCGCAUGAUUAAAGGUUUACCGGUGUAAGAUGGGGAUGCGUUCCAUUAGAUAGUAGGCGGGGUAACGGCCCACCUAGUCUUCGAUGGAUAGGGGUUCUGAGAGGAAGGUCCCCCACAUUGGAACUGAGACACGGUCCAAACUCCUACGGGAGGCAGCAGUAAGGAAUAUUGGUCAAUGGACGAGAGUCUGAACCAGCCAAGUAGCGUGAAGGAUGAAGGUUCUAUGGAUUGUAAACUUCUUUUAUACGGGAAUAAACGGAUCCACGUGUGGAUUUUUGCAUGUACCGUAUGAAUAAGGAUCGGCUAACUCCGUGCCAGCAGCCGCGGUAAUACGGAGGAUCCGAGCGUUAUCCGGAUUUAUUGGGUUUAAAGGGAGCGUAGAUGGGUUGUUAAGUCAGUUGUGAAAGUUUGCGGCUCAACCGUAAAAUUGCAAUUGAUACUGGCAGUCUUGAGUACAGUUGAGGUAGGCGGAAUUCGUGGUGUAGCGGUGAAAUGCUUAGAUAUCACGAAGAACUCCGAUUGCGAAGGCAGCUUACUAACCUGUAACUGACAUUGAUGCUCGAAAGUGUGGAUAUCAAACAGGAUUAGAUACCCUGGUAGUCCACACGGUAAACGAUGAAUACUCGCUGUAGGCGAUAUACAGUCUGCGGCCAAGCGAAAGCAUUAAGUAUUCCACCUGGGGAGUACGCCGGCAACGGUGAAACUCAAAGGAAUUGACGGGGGCCCGCACAAGCGGAGGAACAUGUGGUUUAAUUCGAUGAUACGCGAGGAACCUUACCCGGGCUUAAAUUGCAACCGAAUAUGGCGGAAACGCUAUAGCUAGCAAUAGCGGUUGUGAAGGUGCUGCAUGGUUGUCGUCAGCUCGUGCCGUGAGGUGUCGGCUUAAGUGCCAUAACGAGCGCAACCCUUGCCGAUAGUUACUAACAGGUCAUGCUGAGGACUCUGUCGGGACUGCCAUCGUAAGAUGUGAGGAAGGUGGGGAUGACGUCAAAUCAGCACGGCCCUUACGUCCGGGGCUACACACGUGUUACAAUGGGGGGUACAGAGGGCUGCUACCACGCAAGUGGAUGCCAAUCCCAAAAACCUCUCUCAGUUCGGAUUGAAGUCUGCAACCCGACUUCAUGAAGCUGGAUUCGCUAGUAAUCGCGCAUCAGCCACGGCGCGGUGAAUACGUUCCCGGGCCUUGUACACACCGCCCGUCAAGCCAUGGGAGCCGGGGGUACCUGAAGUGCGUAACCGCAAGGAGCGCCCUAGGGUAAAACUGGUGA
rnacentral:rRNA from 1 species